rnacentral:rRNA from 1 species
UAGGGAAUCUUCGGCAAUGGACGGAAGUCUGACCGAGCAACGCCGCGUGAGUGAAGAAGUUUUUCGGAUCGUAAAGCUCUGUUGUAAGAGAAGAACGAGUGUGAGAGUGGAAAGUUCACACUGUGACGGUAUCUUACCAGAAAGGGACGGCUAACUACGUGCCAGCAGCCGCGGUAAUACGUAGGUCCCGAGCGUUGUCCGGAUUUAUUGAGCGUAAAGCGAGCGCAGGCGGUUAGAUAAGUCUGAAGUUAAAGGCUGUGGCUUAACCAUAGUAGGCUUUGGAAACUGUUUAACUUGAGUGCAAGAGGGGAGAGUGGAAUUCCAUGUGUAGCGGUGAAAUGCGUAGAUAUAUGGAGGAACACCGGUGGCGAAAGCGGCUCUCUGGCUUGUAACUGACGCUGAGGCUCGAAAGCGUGGGGAGCAAACAGGAUUAGAUACCCUGGUAGUCCACGCUGUAAACGAUGAGUGCUAGGUGUUAGACCCUUUCCGGGGUUUAGUGCCGUAGCUAACGCAUUAAGCACUCCGCCUGGGGAGUACGACCGCAAGGUUG